CCUACGUGGGGCAGCAGUGGGGAAUAUUGCACAAUGGGGGAAACCCUGAUGCAGCGACGCCGCGUGAGUGAAGAAGUAAUUCGUUAUGUAAAGCUCUAUCAGCAGGGAAGAAAAUGACGGUACCUGAGUAAGAAGCCCCGGCUAACUACGUGCCAGCAGCCGCGGUAAUACGUAGGGGGCAAGCGUUAUCCGGAUUUACUGGGUGUAAAGGGAGCGUAGACGGCAGUGCAAGUCUGGAGUGAAAGGCGGGGGCGCAACCCCCGGACUGCUGUGGAAACUGUACGGCUGGAGUGCAGGAGAGGUAAGUGGAAUUCCUAGUGUAGCGGUGAAAUGCGUAGAUAGUAGGAGGAACACCAGUGGCGAAGGCGGCUUACUGGACUGUAACUGACGUUGAUGCUCGAAAGUGUGGGUAUCAAACAGGAUUAGAUACCCUAGUAGUC
rnacentral:rRNA from 1 species